rnacentral:lncRNA from 1 species
UGUUGGUUUAUAAUUGAGUUUGGUCUUAUUAUUUCAUAUAAUUAGAUAACUAUUGUGUGUGUAAUUAAGUGAAGAGGUGUGUAUUAAUGGGUACACAUGAAAGGGUAUAUACGUUAUAUUGUUGCGUUGGUUCGUGACUUGUUGUGAACGGUUGCGACAGUGUACGUAAGAUAUGUAUAUAUAAGUGUAUGUGUUGUUGUAAUAAGAUAACAAGUUUCACUAUAAUAAAAAUUCAGUUUCUGCUCUUGUCUUCUACAAGAGAAGAGACAAAAGUCUCUUACUCUGUUUUUUUCUUCUUCUCUCUCAAAUAUUCCAACAAUUUUUACAAAAUUACGAUUUUUUAAGUAGAUGUUAUUUUGGUAAAAUUUUGUUAUAUGAGUUUAUUUGAUAAACUAUAUAUAGACAUACAAUUGUAAAAUAUAGAUAUUAUAUUACAUAAUACAAUUUUAAAAUUAUUUAAUGAAAAUGAUAAAUGAUAUUAUGUGUUUAUUUUUUAAACUAAUUAAAACAUUUCUAACUGUUUGCUUAGAAAUGUUAAAUCG